UUUAAGGCCAAGCUAAUCUUGACUUCUGUAGUCAGCUGGGGCAUUUUUAAAAAGGAGUUCACAAAGAUACUACUGGCGACAGAGGUUAACAGCAUACAUGGAGCUCAAAACUCAAGUUCUACUUGUGGUUAUUCCACUCAUACAACUAUGCUAUAGCACACCGAUCCCUUCCAAUGGUGCCACUACUACCGCAUGUUCAGGUCCCAGAGCUGUCUAUUUCUAUGCUUCAAAACCAUCUUCAAUUAGUGGCAACGUCGACCCCAUCCCUUUCUCGGCUGUCACUCUGAAUGAAGGAGAUGCAUUCAACGGCUUCACUGGUAUCUUCACCGCCCCAGUUCAUGGAAUCUACCAGUUUUUCUUCACAACCCAGAGUGGCAGAAAUAACGCCAACAAUGUCUGGUGGCUGAAUGUCAAUCAAGUGCCCAAAGUUUCAUGUGCUUCUCAAUUAAGCUCGGAGAACACUGUUGCUACCACAUGCACUUACAUGGGUGAGUUAGUAGAGAACGAUGAGGUCACUGUGAGCGAAGCUUCAGGGUAUGCUUGGGCAAUUGACAGCUCCCGCACUAUUACCUUCUCUGGCUCCCUCCUGGUGCAGAAAUCACUCUGAACUAAAACAGAGAAGAUGGCUACAACUGUCUCAGUCAGAAUCUGAAGGCAUUUGAAGUAGAUGUUACUAUACGAGAUCCCUACGUUUGAAAAAAAGAAUGAUGAUGAAAAACAGUUUGUGUCACAUUGUGAAAUGUAGGCCUAUGUACUAAAUAAAUCA